rnacentral:tRNA from 1 species
GGGGCGGUAGCUCAGUCGGUUAGAGCAGGACACUCAUAAUGUCUUGGCCGGGGGUUCAAGUCCCUCUCGCCCUAC